UACGUAGGGCGCAAGCGUUGUCCGGAAUUAUUGGGCGUAAAGAGCUCGUAGGCGGUCUGUUACGUCCGCUGUGAAAACCCAGGGCUUAACCCUGGGCUUGCAGUGGAUACGGGUAGACUAGAGGCAGGUAGGGGAGAAUGGAAUUCCCGGUGUAGCGGUGAAAUGCGCAGAUAUCGGGAGGAACACCUGUGGCGAAGGCGGCUUUCUGGGCCUUACCUGACGCUGAGACGCGAAAGCGUGGGGAGCAAACAGGG
rnacentral:rRNA from 1 species